CUGCCUUCCUCUACCGAUAAAGAACAUGGGGUGCCCUGUCCCUGGAGACUUCCAUGAUAACUGCUGAAAGUUUUAAACAAACCAGAGCUCUGGCAGGACCUUGCUAGACACUUCAUCCAAACAUAUCAUCUUACAACUCUGAUAAAAGGAUCUGCUGGAUUUUCUUUUGGCUGAGAUAAGACAUUUGUAUUCAUUGAAACCAAUGUUAAUUGGCCUGGAAACAUCACGCUGCUGUGACUCAGCAGAGGACCUUUUUCUGGAGAGGCACUCCACCUGAGUUGCCUACAGGGAGGAGAGUUGUGCCCAAAUGAGCACUGCCUGUAAAAUUGCACUCAUGCCAAUCUGAAGUAGUGAUGGUGGGAGAUGCUCCUGUGAAAGCCUCUAUCUGUCACGCUGCUUGUCUUUUAAGACGCGUUAGUCCCAGUGGCCAUCUCAGAAUGCUGUGGGGCCACAGUAACAAAGUGAAGAUUUCCCUUGAGGAUCUAAAGCAAGCAAGCCCACACAUGCACGUGUUCAAGCUCCUUCCUUUAUUCCUCUGUGUUACAUGAAGCCAAGGUCUUGGAGAAGAGGGGGAGAGACCUUCCUAAGGCCACGAGAGGGCAAGUGGCCUGCCUUUGUACUGGAAUUUCUGUGGGUGAAUUCUGAAGGAUUUUUGUAUCUUGGGAUUUGUAUCAAAAGUGAGGCAGCUGGAAAAGGAGUUGGAGCAAAAAUGUUCUGAUAGAAGUAGUUGUGCUCCUGAGAAUGUUAAAUCUUCUUAUAAUCAUCUAUGAAAUCAAAGACUGACUUCCUCUCGAGGUGGAAACUUGCUUCCAGCAGAUGGGGAUGGGAAACAGAGGACUGACUCUGAUUAAAAAAAGAUCACAAUUAAAUGUCAUUCUCAAGAAGAGAGACCUGCUGAAAUUGAAGAGAUUUAUGUGUGAGAUUUAAAGUGUCCAUGGUGUUGGAAGACUACACCAGAAAGAAAGUUUGUUUGGUAAUUACACUGGG
ensembl:lncRNA